GAGCUGGGUUUAGAACGUCGUGAGACAGUUCGGUCCCUAUCUGGUGUGGGCGUUGGAUGAUUGAGGGGAGCUGCUCCUAGUACGAGAGGACCGGAGUGGACGAACCGCUGGUGUUCGGGUUGUCAUGCCAAUGGCAUUGCCCGGUAGCUACGUUCGGAAUCGAUAACCGCUGAAAGCAUCUAAGCGGGAAGCCGGCCCAAAGAUGAGUCAUCCCUGACCUUUAAGGUCUGGAAGGGUUGUUAUAGACGAUGACGUUGAUAGG
rnacentral:rRNA from 16 species